GGGAGACCCAGCUGUACAUACCCAGUGGGAGACAAGGCUAAUAAAGCAAGGUGGCGGCUGCCUCACCUGCCAAGGGCUAUUUAGGGAGCGAGUUGCCUGUGAUGAGGAGGUGUGUGUUGGGAGAGUGGAGAGCUCUGGAAGGGCCAGAGACCAGACCAUGGUGACCCCUGAGCCAGGAGGAGGAGGAGGAACCGGACUCCAGGAAUUAUUUGGGCCAUGGUGCAUCUUUGCAUGAGAAAUGAAUUUGUCAUGCCUGACUUGACUGCUGCCACUAUGGGUAUGUAACAGAAACCAUCAAAAGAAGCAUGCCUUGAGGUCCAACUUCUGAAAGAAAACAAGACAUUACCAUUUCCCGACAGACGGCUCUCUCUUCUGUAUCCUUCAGAAAGAAUGCCUCUUACCCAAACUGCCAAUGCUGCUGAAUAUCCAAUGUGACAUUCACCCCAAAAAUAAACUCACUCAAGUGAAAUGCGAGAGUUGCAAAGGUGCGCUUUGAAAAGACAAAUUGUGUUCAUGCGCUUCCGCUGAAAUAUCUUUGAUGCCAGCUGCUUGCUGUGAAUGUAGUUUGACAGCGCCACCUACAGGCCACUUUUGUUGAGAAAAGCUCAGAAAGGAGCCAUCAUAAAACUCCAUUUGGAAACCAACGAAGUUUGCUCCUUCAGUUCUCGGGCAUUCAGUUUGUUUCUGUUUGAGAACCCAAGUCAAUAGCAUACAGCUAGAACAGGGGUUCCUGAACUGUAGGGGAGGAUGGCAAUUCAACCCCCAUUCGCAGAGUAAAACCAGUAUAGUGAGAACUAAGUCAAGCAGGAGAUCUGGAGACAGUUGUUGACGUUUGAAGAAACAAGGAUUUAUUAGAAGCAACAAAUAAAAUAGAAAAGCCUGCA